rnacentral:lncRNA from 1 species
UACAUUUUACUUUUUUUAAUUAAAAAAUAGGCAAAUAAAUCCUUAUACAUUAAAUCAAACAGUAACACGUGUACCUCAUGCUUAUGUAUAGGAACCAAAUUUUAACAAUAAAAAUUGAUAGAUUUUUUAAUAGAAGGAUCAACUUACUCUUUGAUGUAAUGUACAGAGGCUAGUUUACCUAUUUUUUGAGUAAAGGGGGUAAA